UAUAAGUCUAGGAAUGGUAACUGGGCGACUAGUCGUGAAACGGAUAAGAAAUUUAAGAUGAAGCAUUUUGGUGUUCUCGCUGUUCUUUUGGUGGCAUUGAUUCUUGUCCAUGAAGGAUUGUGUCAAGGGUCAAGUGCCGCUGCUCCUGGAGGCUCUACAGCUGCACCAGGAGGUGGGGCGUCUGGAAUGACCGGAAGUGUGAUACUGACUGUGGUGUCGUUUGGCUUCCUCUGCUUUAUGAAGCUGAAGUAGAAAUAUUGAAUAAAUUUUGUUUUUAUAUACUUUAAGCAGCAAGAUUGACACAUGCUUUGCACCAAUCAACAGAAAUUAAUUUUUGAAAUUCAUUGCAGAAUAUACAAUACCUUAUUAUCAAAUGAAAUCACAUGACUGCCAAGAGAUGAAACUUAGCUAUGAUAUGAAAAAAGAGAGAAAUGUACAAAUGACUUUCUUGGUAUAUUAUGUCGGAAUAUAUUAUUUGUAUGAUUCUUGUAUGUUUUAAUGACGAUGAAAUAAAAACAAACAUUAAACAU